UUGCUCUCUUUGGCAGCACAUAUACUAAAAUUGCAACGAUACAGAUAAGAUUAGUGUGGCCCCUGUGCAAGGAUGUCAUGCAAAUUCAUGAAGCAUUUCAUAUUUUU